GGGCCGGGGCCCGGCUUGUAACUCCUCGCUGCUGCGGCUCUGAGCACGGGCUGUGCCUGCGCCUCUGGCCCAGCCGGCCCCGAGGCUGCCCAGCCGCGGGUGUGGGCACAGCGCGGGCCCUGGGGACGGGCUGGCAGCGAGGAUACCGGUGUGGCUGCUCGGCGGGGGACCCUGGCAGGUGCCUGCUCCUGCAGCUUUGAAUGCUCUUGUUCUUCGUUCAAUACAGGCAAUCAUGAGUGAUCAGACAGCUAUGACAAAGGAUACAGACAUGUCUGAAGAGAUGCUGUGAUUCUCUGGAGUAUGCCAUUUUGGCCAUAGAGAAAUAUAAUGUUGGAAGAGAGAUUAUAGCCUUAUAAUGGGUAAAUUUUUGCUUGUAAUAUUCUUUUGUUGAAUGCUAUCCACACUGGAAGUCAGGCAGAGUGGUGUUGCUACACUGUUUAGAAGAGCAAGUUCUGUGGACAAAAAAUAAAUUAGGCUUUUCCCAUGGGCUGCUGUCCCUGUGUUCCUUUUCCUAUGCUUUACAUGUACCUUUUCUAGUUUUUGUUUUGCCAUACUUUCUAUGUUUAAUUGUUUUUUCACUACCAUUGUUUAGCAGAAUAGGAGAGAUUCUGCUGGCCUUUCCCAGUGUGACUGAUUAGCUGGUAGCAAAUGCAGCCCUUUGAAGACUCCUGUUACUUUCCUCAGAAGGAAUGCCUUUUUUUACCUAGUCCUUGACCUGUUGUGUUCAAAUUAGUCUUAAGGUUCUGUUUGUCAGAUUUUCCUUGAGGCUCCUAGUUGGAACUGUGUUGAGGAGGUAAUAUAUCCAGGGUUGUAAUAGCUGAUCAGAAGUGCUUGUGUGCUAUCACGGGAAGCUUCCUCAUUUGAGAGCUAUUGGGUGUGACAGUAUAUAAUGACUGACUGGAAUGUUCUGCUUUUCGUAGAGCUGUGUAUCUUGAUUUUUGUAAUGUGUGGUAGGUUUCUGAGUAUGAUGGGAGAACAUGAUCUCAUGACGUGAUACUUCAGCGGUAUAGUUUGAGAACACAGUAUGACUUCUGGGGGGGAAUUGCAGUCCGUGGGCUUAUUCCUGCUCAGCUAGGAAACUCUGUGGGCUUUUUUCCUUUGUGUGUGUCUAAGAAGCAGGUGAAGUAUAAGAGGUAAGUAACACAGUCCUUAUAGUUAAAAGCAUAUGCUGCUGCUUAAUUGCCUUUUCAAAAAGUGAUACUUCUUAAGAAGAGACACAUUAAUGACAAGAAAUCUGUAGUCAACUUUUAGGUGAGAACUGUGCUAAGUUCCUAGUGAUCCCUUCUGCAGGAGUUUGAGCAGAUACAGUCCCACUCGGUACUGCAUUGUAGGAAGGAAACCUGGCAGCUGUGUGUCUCAUGAGAUCAUGUACUUCAUCUUCCUCAUGCAUGGAGUAAAUAUUCUGUUUAAAGCUGGUUAGAGCUGUGGAUCGUUGUUUGGAGUUGCUUGUGCUUACAGGACUGCACACUAACAGGAGCACCUUAGUGCCUUCAGCCUUCCUGAGGAAGAAGACCUUGGUCUUCAGGGGUAAUAGGAAUUUUUCUGGAGUGGUUAAUGUGUUUUUUCUGUUUAGGGAAAAAAAACCCAACCUUCUAUUUAUUUCCAGGGUCAGCUUGCUAUAAAAAUGUUAUGUGUGUUCUGUCUUUAAGAGUUUUAUGGCUGUUUUCUCUAUGGCUGUUUUCCCUAACAUGGCUUGGGUUCCUCAUUUCCAUGUGAACAACCACAUUUCGAAGAAACCUCUGACUGAGAAUAUCCAAAUGUGUAGCUAAAUGCACAAGUAACCAUGGGUGAAUCAGAUGGCUGUGACAAAGGAUACAGACAUGUCUGAAGAGAUGUAGCAAGAUGCUGUAGAUUGUGCCAUUCAGUCUCCGAAGGAAUACAAUGUUGAGCAUAAUAUUGCAGCUCAUAUAAAGAGGAUAAGUGUUCACUCAUAAUAUUUUCCUACUGAAUACUGUAUGGACUUCAAAAGUCAGGCAAAAAUAUUGGUGGGUAAGUAGUUCUGGAGAACCAAGUUCUGUGGUCACUGCAUAGUCUAGUCAGACUUUUUCUGCAGACCAGUCCUUAUGUUCCUUUCUGUACCCCUUUAUAUGCACUUUUUUGGUUCUUCCCCUUCUCUUUCACAGUUCCUUCUAUUUAAGUCCUUUCCUCCACUCUGCAAAGACAGCACUUGAGUAGUAAUACCAAAUUCCUAGGGGUCUGUUCUGUAGGAGUUUGACAGGAAAUAUAAUCCUACCUGGCAGUGCACCACUGUAGGAAGAAAUUUUGUGACUCAUGAGACCAGUCAAUUCAUGCUCAUCUGCUUGGGUCCUUUUACUGUUCUUCUCAAGGGUGCUUAGAGCCAUGGACUGUUCCUCAGACUUUCAUCUCAUUGCUCAAUUGUGUCAUAAUGCAUGAAGCCUGGUGUCUUCAGCCUUCCUGAGGAAGUAGACCUUGGCCUUCAAGGGCAAGGAUUUUGCUAGUAUGUUUUCAUUGUAGUUAGGGGA